CAUAUGCAAUGGUAAAAUGCAAUUUGAGGAGUUUUUAUUUUGAGAUGCCAUGCUAACUCAAUGCCCACAAUAAUCUCCACGAACCCUUUGAUGACACUUUAAUUCAAGCCAGCAAAAUGUUUUGAAAGAUAUUUUCACUGGAGAUGGAAUUCUGGGUCAGCAGUUCCUGCCUCCCUCCUACCCCUACCCCAAUCAAUAAGUUUGGUUGCUUCAGUGUCAUCUGACUUUUACAGUUUCUGACAAGAAUUCUGUUGUCUUACGGAUCUUUGUCCUCUGACUCUAUUAUACUUUUCUUUCCUGGUUGAUCUUAAACUUUUCACGUCGUCAUGUGUUUUCAGCAAUUCGAUUCUAGUGUGCCUUGGUGUGGUGCCCUGUGUGUAAGUCCUAAUAAACUCAUCUGGUUGUCAAGCUGGA